AGUGAACGCUGGCGGUAGGCCUAACACAUGCAAGUCGAACGGCAGCACAGUAGGAGCUUGCUCUUACGGGUGGCGAGUGGCGGACGGGUGAGGAAUACAUCGGAAUCUACUUUUUCGUGGGGGAUAACGAAGGGAAACUUACUCUAAUACCGCAUACGGCCUACGGGUGAAAGCAGGGGAUCUUCGGACCUUCCGCGUGUGAUGGAGCCGAUGUCGGUUUAGCUAGUGGGCGGGGUAAAGGCCCACCAAGGCGACGAUCGGUAGCUGGUCUGAGAGGAUGAUCAGCCACACUGGAACUGAGACACGGUCCAGACUCCUACGGGAGGCAGCAGUGGGGAAUAUUGGACAAUGGGCGCAAGCCUGAUCCAGCCAUACCGCGUGGGUGAAGAAGGCCUUCGGGUUGUAAAGCCCUUUUGUUGGGAAAGAAAAGCAGCAGGUUAAUACCCCGCUGUUCUGACGGUACCCAAAGAAUAAGCACCGGCUAACUUCGUG
rnacentral:rRNA from 1 species